GGCACAAUCACAUAUGAAGAAUUGAAAGAAGGGUUAGCCAAGUGGGAUCUAAACUCACAGAAGCUGAAGUGAAGCAGCUCAUGGAUGCUGCUGAUGUUGAUGGGAACGGGUCAAUAGACUACAUUGAGUCAUUACUGCAACUAUGCAUAGACACAGGCUUGAAAGUGAUGAGAAUCUUUACAAGGCUUUCCAGCAUUUUGACAAAGACGGCAGUGGAUACAUUACAAUAGAUGAGCUCGAAGUGGCGUUGAAGGAGUAUGGAAUGGGAGAUGAUGCAACAAUCAAAGAGGUUCUCUCAGGUGGACUCUGAUAACGAUGGUAGAAUCAACUAUGAAGAGUUCUGCGCGAUGAUGAGAAGUGGAAAUCCACAACAGCAACAACAAACAACAACCACCGCGGCUCUUCUAAAGGGACAUUGCUUCUGGAUUCAAAGUAUCAAGAGGAGGAGAAACGGUAUGUAUCUAAUCCAGAAAAUCAGGAGCUGUAUUAAUUAAUGU